rnacentral:rRNA from 1 species
ACGGGUGAGUAAUGUCUGGGAAACUGCCUGAUGGAGGGGGAUAACUACUGGAAACGGUAGCUAAUACCGCAUAACGUCGCAAGACCAAAGAGGGGGACUUCGGGCCUCUUGCCAUCGGAUGUGCCCAGAUGGGAUUAGCUAGUAGGUGGGGUAACGGCUCACCUAGGCGACGAUCCCUAGCUGGUCUGAGAGGAUGACCAGCCACACUGGAACUGAGACACGGUCCAG